rnacentral:rRNA from 1 species
AUUGAACGCUGGCGGCAGGCCUAACACAUGCAAGUCGAACGAGUGGCGGACGGGUGAGUAAUGUCUGGGAAACUGCCCGAUGGAGGGGGAUAACUACUGGAAACGGUAGCUAAUACCGCAUACCAUCGGAUGUGCCCAGAGGGGAUUAGCUAGUAGGUGGGGUAAUGUCUCACCUAGGCGACGAUCCCUAGCUGGUAUGAGAGGAUGACCAGCCACACGGGAACUGAGACACGUGCCAGACUCCUACGGGAGGCAGCAGUGGGGAAUAUUGCACAAUUGGCGCAAGCCUGAUGCAGCCAUGCCGCGUGUAUGAAGAAGGCCUGCGGGUUGUAAAGUACUUUCAGCGAGGAGGCGUUACUCGCAGAAGAAGCACCGGCUAACUCCGUGCCAGCCGCCGCGGUAAUAC